rnacentral:rRNA from 1 species
UACGUAGGGGGCAAGCGUUGUCCGGAUUUAUUGGGCGUAAAGAGCUCGUAGGUGGUUCGGUAAGUCGGAUGUGAAAUCUCCAGGCUCAACCUGGAGGGGUCAUUCGAUACUGCCGUGACUAGAGGUCGGUAGGGGAGUGUGGAAUUCCUGGUGGAGCGGUGAAAUGCGUAGAUAUCUGGAGGAACACCGGUGGCGAAGGCGGCAUCCUGGACCGACACUGACGCUGAGGAGCGAAAGCCAGGGGAGCAAACGGGG